GGACCCUGGUUGCCGUAGCAACCUACCAGACGGUUCUCUCUGUCUUCUGAUGUGGGCAUCCAGGGAGAACUGGGGACUUACAUCUUCCCUGCUUUUCAACCGGGAAUGCCUCCACAUGCCAGUUUAGGGGCUGUUGGCACCAGGACAGGGACGUGGGACCUUCAGAAAACAUAGAGGAAGCAGGUUCCCAAAUUCCCUCCCCGCACCUUCCUUCCUGGUUUCCCCACCCAGUCAUUGAAGCUGCUUCAUCUUACUCCGGAUUCUUCGGAAACUUGAGUGCUGAGCAACUAUCCAGUUAAGCCAACGCCGAUGUUAGGUUCUUCAAAAUGACAAGGGGAGCCUGUGGAGAGGGCGGCUUAUCCCUCGAGCGGCAGCCAGGUUGGGCCUCGCCAAGAGUAAGGAUAGUCUUAGUAUGAUGGAGUUCUCAUCUCCUCAGAGGUAGGCUCUUCCCAGCUCCGAGAAAGACAGAGCGAAAUGCAACUCUUCCUCCCAGGGAACAGCCUAGGGCCUGGGAGGAAUCUCAUAGGUAGUUCAUCUUGAGAUGCCGAAAAAAAACCCCCGAGAGGCUGUGGUCCUACCUAGUUUCUGGGAAGGAUCUUGUCAAGCGACCCUCUCUGACCCUGAACCUCUUUAUGUGGAUUUUGUGCUGAGCACCAAGAGAAUAUGUACAAUGUGUUGCCUGGACAGCUGGGGUGGCGAGUCACAGCUGCCAGCAAAGGCGGGGUCCAGGCCAUCCCUACACCUGACUCAAGCUGGCAAGACCUCCCAGAGGACUUCCUGGAACUGUCAGCCUCCAGCCUGUGCCGUGGGAUAUCCCUCCUGCCUCAGCGUCCCUAAGGAGCGAGGAGGGACAGCUGGCCGUGUUUGCAGCUGAGGGAAGAUGCUGGCACGGUGGUCCCAGCGAGGAGACCUAUGCAGACGGCGGCAGGACCCUCGACUUCUUCAGAGAUGAGACCUAUUGCCUGGGUGACCUGUCCUGACACCUCCCUGCUGGCCUCCACGAACAGCAACCAGGCCAGAAAAAGCUGAGACUGGACCCGCUGGCGUUAAAGAUGGGGCCCAGAAUGUGGGGGUGAGACUGCAGGGCGAGGGUGGAAGCUAGUGGCGUGGGCAAAAGAGACCGGCUCCGGGGAGGUAAGGGAUUCUGGAAGGUGCAUGGCUGUGCUGUAGACCCACCUGGGACACGGGCGGCUGUGGAGGAAUAACAAAUAAACACCUGACAAAGUCCCA